ensembl:lncRNA
ACAACUGCAGCACACUGGUGAAGAGGCUGCGUACAGCAGUCAAAUUACUGGUACUUCAGCAGAAUGGGAGUGUUGGAAGAACCAGUAAAGGGUUUCCCCAGAAGGACACACUGAAGUACACACUGAAGUACACUUAAAUGUGCUAGAUGUUUGUGGAUUGGUUUGCUGGUAAAAUGAGUUUUUCAACCCACUGUGCCUCUACACAACCUGCUCUGAUUGGAGUCAUCAGCUGAUGAUUUAAAUCAGGUUUAAGGAUAAUAAUGUUUGGUGAUUCAAGAGGAAAGAUCUCUGAAACUUGCUCCAAGAUCAUUUGAAGAGUCCUAUGGCCUUUUUCAAAAAUCUUCAGAUGGAGAGUCAUCAUUAUUGUCAGCACCUAAGGAUGCAGAGAAGUGUGACAGUUGGCAGCAGUUCAGCUUGUUCCCAUCCAAAUCUUCUGAGAUAAGUUAUGGUUCCUAUGAAUUCUUUGGUCUUGGUGCCACACAUGCUGGACAAGAUGGAAGUUCUUGUGAUGGCACACAAACUGCUGCUCUGAUCGAUGAUGUGCUGUUAGACUGCCGUUUGCCUUAUCUAGGUUCCACGAGGAGGUCCAGGUCACCAUAUUCAGACGG